GCCCAAAUUCGCACGUGCCCGUGGUCGUUCAUGAGGUUCAUCAGAAACCUCUUAAGGGGCCGCUGCCAAGAAACACCGCCAAGGGGCGGGGCAGCAAAGUCCGGACGGCUUAAAGCAACGACGUAAGAGGGCCCUU
rnacentral:sRNA from 1 species